AGGGGCAUUCUCAGAUUUCCCGAUUGCUUCCCAGCCGAGUGAGCUGUGCCGCUGCUUUCACAUCACGGCCGACAGAAAAGCAAGACAACGACGACGUGUGGCCAGCGCGCCCCAAUCCCGCAUUCUCCGGUGUCGGUUUGUGCGUCUCCACUUUCGCGUUGCCUGUAGCGAGGUCAGAAGAUAGUCCUGUGGGGAUGGUGGUGCUGCAAUGACCUGCGUGGCCUCUCUUUCCUCCAGAGAUCAUCCUCCAAUCAAGACCGUGGGGCCAGCUCCAGUCAGGACAUGGUCGGCAGGUUCACAUGACGGACAGGUGAUGGAGUCCUCCAUCAUCGCUUUGCUCUGACGUGUCCCAGCACUGCCUCCGAGGCAUCAGCCUGUGCGGUGCGAAGAGGCCCCUCGACUCUUUGCCAUGGUGACAUAAGCAGUGCUGCAGUAUGAGGGAGAGCCAUUGUGAGACCGUGUCCUUUCUUUCUCCAGUCGCUGUUGCGGCUGCUUCUUUUGCAUGUUUCGUGUUUUUCUCCUUAUUGAGACUUUGAGACUGAAACAUUUGUAAAUAGUCCCUGUAGACCUUUGUAAGCACGCCCCACGGCGUGUAGCCUGGCAGGCGGGGCAGAGAGGCCCAAGAGACGAUGCUGGGAUGCGUGACCCGUGUCCGUCGGCUGGUGCGUCUCCUCCCCCUGCAGACCUCCCUGCUCCUACUCUUCCUCUUCUGUACCAUCAGCGUCUUCAUCUCGGCCUACUUCCUGUAUGGCGUCAAGCGGGAGCUGGAGCCUUCAGGAGGGGGCGUGUCCGGGUCAGAGGGAGCGUCGGCCGACUCGGACGACCUCAGGGUCACCCCUUCAAGGCUAUUACCUUUGCGUGGAGUCCCGGGGGGUCCUGGAGGAGACCCUGCAGGAGCAAGGACAGAUCCUGUGGUUUUGGUGUUUGUGGAGAGUCAGUAUUCUCAAUUGGGUCAAGAAAUUGUGGCCAUUUUGGAAUCAGGCCGUUUCCGCUAUAGGACAGAGAUAUCCCCUGGUAAAGGGGACAUGCCCACACUUACGGACAAAGAGAGAGGGCGAUUCACACUGGUAAUUUAUGAGAACAUUCUGAAGUACGUGAACCUAGACGCAUGGAACAGGGAGCUGCUGGACAAAUACUGUGUGGAGUACGGUGUGGGCAUCAUUGGCUUCUUCAAGGCCAAUGAAAACAGUCUGCUCAGUGCCCAGCUCAAAGGCUUCCCACUCUUCCUUCACUCCAACUUGGGCCUGAAAGACUGCACCGUGAACCCCAAGUCUCCGCUCCUCUUCAUCACUCGGUCAGGGCAGCCCUUGCCAGGACCUCUUCCCGGGGACGAUUGGACAGUGUUCCAGUCCAACCACUCAACAUACGAGCCUGUGCUGCUGGCAAAAACUCAGUCUGCCGACAGUGUGGCCUCCAUUGGGCAAAACGCAGCCCUGCUCCCCUCUGUGGUGCAGGACCUGGGCCUCCAUGAUGGCAUCCAAAGGGUUUUGUUUGGCAACAACCUGGUGUUUUGGCUGCACAAGCUGGUGUUUGUGGACGCUGUGGCCUUUCUGACGGGGAAGAGACUGUCUCUGUCCCUGGACCGAUACCUUCUGGUCGAUAUAGAUGAUAUCUUUGUUGGGAAGGAGGGCACCCGCAUGAAGGUGCCAGAUGUGAAGGCCUUGUUAGAGACACAGAAGGAGCUACGCACCCAUGUCCCCAACUUCACGUUCAAUCUGGGCUUCUCAGGGAAGUUCUUCCACGCUGGCUCUGAUGAGGAGGACCUUGGAGACGACCUGCUGCUGUCCUAUGUGAAGGAGUUCUGGUGGUUUCCUCACAUGUGGAGCCACAUGCAGCCACAUCUCUUCCACAAUCAGUCGGUUCUGGCCGAACAGAUGCUGCUCAAUAAGAAAUUUGCCAUGGAGCAUGGGAUCCCUACAAACAUGGGUUACGCUGUGGCCCCCCAUCACUCGGGUGUGUACCCUGUGCACAUGCAGCUGUAUGAUGCUUGGAAGAAGGUCUGGGGCAUUAAAGUGACCAGCACCGAAGAAUACCCCCACCUCAAACCUGCUCGCUUCAGACGUGGCUUCAUCCACAGUGGCAUCAGUGUGCUUCCCAGACAGACAUGUGGUCUUUUCACACACACCAUUUUCUAUAAAGACUACCCCGGCAGCCCAAAUGAACUGGACAAACUCAUCAACGGAGGGGAGCUCUUCCAGACCGUUCUGCUCAACCCUAUAAGUAUAUUUAUGACCCAUUUAUCAAACUAUGGCAAUGACCGCCUUGGCCUUUACACCUUUAAAAGCCUGGUGAUGUUUGUGAAGACAUGGACCAAUCUGAAGAUGCAAACUCUUCCACCCAUUCAGCUGGCUCAGAAGUAUUUCAGCCUGUUCCCAUCAGAGAGAGACCCCCUCUGGCAGGAUCCUUGUGAGGACAAAAGGCACAAGGACAUCUGGUCCAAAGAGAAAACAUGUGACCGCUUUCCCAAACUGCUUGUCAUCGGGCCUCAGAAGACAGGAACAACAGCACUGUACCUGUUUCUUGGCAUGCAUCCCGACCUGACUAGUAACUACCCCAGCAAAGAGACAUUUGAGGAGAUCCAAUUCUUCAAUGGCCAUAACUACCACAGGGGGAUUGACUGGUAUAUGGAGUACUUCCCCCUCCCUUCCAACACCAGCUCCGACUACUAUUUUGAGAAGAGUGCCAACUACUUUGACUCUGAAGUGGCUGCUCAGAGGGCUGCAGCGCUCCUGCCCAAAGCCAAGAUAAUCACGAUCCUCAUCAACCCAGCCGACAGAGCGUACUCCUGGUAUCAGCACCAAAGAGCACAUGACGACCCAGUUGCACUGAAAUACUCCUUCCAUGAAGUCAUCACCGCGGGACACGAAGCUCCCAUCCGACUGAGGGUCCUUCAGAACCGCUGCCUGGUCCCAGGGUGGUAUGCUGUGCACAUGGAGCGCUGGCUCAACUAUUAUCACUCCAGUCAGCUGCUGGUCUUAGAUGGGCAGAUGCUAAAAACUGAACCAGCCUCUAUCAUGGACAAAAUCCAAAAGUUUCUGGGUCUGGCCAAUAUCAUCAAUUACCAUAAAAUCUUAGCGUUUGAUCCCAAGAAAGGUUUUUGGUGUCAGCUGCUCGAAGGAGGGAAGACCAAGUGUCUGGGGAAGAGCAAAGGCCGGAGGUACCCUGACAUGGGCCCCGAGUCCCAGGCAUUCCUCAGGGAGUAUUAUCGGGAUCACAACAUUGAACUUUCAAAGCUCCUGUAUAGAAUGGGUCAACCUCUGCCCAGUUGGCUCAGAGAAGAAUUGGUCCACACGAGGUAGCAUCAAGGCAGCGGAGAUCUCAACUCCACAAAUAAAACCACUACUUAUCCCUAUCAGAAGGAUGGAGGAACUGAAAAUUUACUUCAUGCGAUCUAUCAAAGACAAGAUGUGAUCAUGAAGAGGGUUAAGGAUCUUGGAUGUACUGGCCUCCUUUCUGUCCUUUGGAAGAAUGGACCUUGAUUUAUUUGGGAAAACGCAUCCAAUAAUCUUUGCUUCCUUACAACAUGGAGUAUAGAAACAUGACAGAGAUGGACUCAGCCUCAUACCAAGCUAAAUAUGAGUUGCAGUGUUGGAGCAAAUAAAGAACUUCACCUUGACUGCAUGGAAAAGUGACAUUGUUCGAAAACGCCUUGAGAAAUAUUUGUACGCAAGAACCGGAGUUUCAAAUCUCGAGGCUGCGGGGUUGUAGCCUUACAUGAUAGGCCUUGGUACAAUCUAGUUAUCACAUUUACAAGUGCCAGGACAGAAUCUUCAUCAUAAUAUGGACUCCUAUUAUGAGGGUUCUUAUUUUUUUAUUUGUAUGUUUUUGUUCUCUUUCGCCCUGAGAUUGUUUUAACAAUUAUUUAAUACUGUCUGUAAUGGAUUAUUGUAGAAUGUACCAAUUUAAACAUUGUAGCUCAGUUACAGGUUACUUUAGGAUUUUUAUUUUAUUAUAUUCAGCUGCUCGGCCUCAUCUUAAGUCAGUUUCAUGACCACUUCAUUGGCCAAAGCAGGGACAGUUGGAUAGAUGACGUAAGCACAAUAUAUAAGGAAGUCAGACGGUGAUAAUAUUAAAAUAAUGUACAAUACAACGUUUACAGGGAAGCACACAAACACUACAACAAUCUGUGAAGAAUAGUAUAAGCUAACUACUGUAUUAAUUCUGCACUCUGGUCCGAAACAUUCACAUAGUGUACAUUUCAAUUUUGUUGAAAUUUGAGAUACUUUUUUCGCCAUUUCUUUAUUUUGGAGUGUGUUAUAAAGUUGCCAGGAAGACCAAGUAUACUGAGAACAUUUGGUUGCCAUUGAAGACUUUACCACUGCAAGUAGAUGUCAAGAUUAGACGAUAAAAGCUGCUCUUAAUUGCAAUAGUUUUGUACAAUGUUGAGACAAAAAUGCACAUGUUGGUCCAUUCAUUUCCUGACUUUGUAAUGUACAUAAAAGCGACUCUUAGACCUAAAUUAUUGAAUGUUUUUGGGUUUGCUCUGUCCAUCUGCUCAUUCCCGUAGUGUGAAAUGUCCGUGCUGUACAAAGGAACAAUUGGGAGUGUUGUACAGGGAAGUUUCGCUAAGAUUGUCUUUUAUGUCUUCUCACUGCCAACUACUGUACAGACUAAGGUACUAGUCUUUCCAUUUAAAGUAUUAUGUGAUAACUCAUAACGGCAUCGAUGGUACUAAUCUCCUGGACUGUAUGAGGUGGGACCAAGUCAUUGUUUUGCAAGUCUCAAGUAAGUCUCAAGUUUUUGACCUCAAGUCCAAGUCAAGUCUCAAGUCAAAUACAGGCAAGUCCAGGUCGAGUUUUGAGUC